AUUUAAGUUUUCUAGGGUUCCGCAGUUUUAUCUGGUCUGGUCCAAGAGAAAACGCACAGAAAAUUCUGUGACACGGAGGGAUAAAAGCCCGGGAGGA
rnacentral:sRNA from 2 species